UACGUAGGAGACGAGCGUUGUCCGGAGUUACUGGGCGUAAAGGGUGCGCAGGUGGCGGCGCGCGUGGGGGGUGAAAUCGCCCGGCUUAACUGGGCGGGGGCCUUCCAGACGGCGUGGCUUGAGCAGCGGAGGGGGACGUGGAAUUCCGGGUGGAGCGGUGAAAUGCAUAGAGAUCCGGAAGAACACCGACGGCGAAGGCAGCGUCCUGGCCGAGCACUGACGCUCAGGCACGAAAGCGCGGGGAGCAAACAGG
rnacentral:rRNA from 1 species